CUUCAUCAUACAAGAUUUCGACACAGCCAGUUACUGGCACCAGACUGAGCAGAAAGUCUGUUGCUGCCACUAAUCCCAGUCAACAGCUUUUUUAACACCAGGGAAAAAUUUUGCAGGGAAGGUCAAUAUCCAAGGUCUUACGGAAUUGCUGACCAGAAGCUGCCCACCUAAAUGAAAAUGAGGGAACUUCACAUGGAUUUGUUUGUUUGCCAAACAGAAGAACCCAACUUCUGCAAACAGGGGUUAGGACAAGAAAUUCCUAACAAGGACAAGAAAUCAGAACUUGGAGACCACUGGCUUGGGGCACCGAUGAGGAGGAGAAAUGUGGAAAGGAUUGAGAAAGAAAAAAGUACGUUGUAAAUUUUCCAGCUGAUCCGUUGGAUUGGCACACAAACUGCCUGGAAAGGUUGUGGCAGAGCCACUGGCAUGAAUACAAAACAGAAUGUUUACUUUAAUAGGAAAAAAAAAUCCAACAACCAGAAAAGAAGUGAUGCAGCUGUAUUGUUCUAUCCAUUAAAUUACAUUAACAGCAAUUCAAAAGGUGCACUCCAGGCCUUUGCUGGCACCAAGCUCUUUCAUUCAUUAAUCUUCUUAAUGUAGCCAAUGAACUUUAGAAUUAAAGAAUAUGUUGUGGGUUCUGUGGUUCCUUGACUUAUUAUUUUCCAGCUCCAUUCAGCUCUUUAGC
rnacentral:lncRNA from 1 species